GGUCUGUUCCUUUGUUUUUUAGUGUUACACUUUUGAGUGUAAGUGUACGAAAUUCUAUGGACAUUUGAGUGUAAAAUGACAGCGGAUGUGACAGCGGCUCAUGACAGCGGACAGUAUUAAACGAAAAUUAUCGGUGUGCCAAUCAAGCAAAGGGACAAGGAACUUCCGAAUAUGGCCUAACGGGGGGCACAUAACAUAACAUAACCUAAUCCUAAUAUUUACAUUUGUAAAGAAUAUCCUGUUUGUUUUUAUUGUCGAUUGUGCAGCGAAAUUGUGUGCAGCAAAUCAAAUAUAAAGUAGUUUAUCGCCUACAGAACUGAAUUAGUCCAUAGCAGUUAUCAGUUUUUCUUUCUUGGGAAGCUUAUACAUGUAACUUGUAUUGUUGUAAAUUGUGGGAGUAGGGCAGACAGGGAAAAGUCUUAUUUUGUACUGUUCCCAAGGCUCCCCAUGCAAUACAUUUAAAUGAAUUAUCCAAACAAAGCCGGGGACAAUGGAUAAAAGCCACAAGAAGAACAGAUAUAAGGGAACUAAAAUUAAAAUAUGAAAAGUAAACAUUUUAUAAGUGGAACAACCACCAGAUAUUUAAAAGGUAUAAAAAGAAGAAACUGCUGGAAUUUCAAAACAAAUGUGUUUGACUAGUAAAGAUUUGGAUAAAUAACAGGAGUUACUUUGGGCUAUAGCUACGUGCAGAUUUAUUUCCUUGUGGCUUCCUAUGUUAAUUCUUAUUAAUUAUACACUUAAAUAUGUUUUUAGUCUCAGGAAGAUUUUAUAUUUGAUUAUUUUUGAAUAAACAUUAUUAUUAUUAUUACCUUAAUUUCCAUUAAAUAAAUUAACUGUAAUCAAUAAAGUAAUCGUUUAAUUGUUAAUAAAUUAUCAAGUAUGA